ACCUGGGUGGCUCAGUCGGUUGAGCUUCUGACUUCGGCUCAGGUCAUGAUCUCGCGGUUUGUGAGUUCGAGCCCCACGUCAGGCU
rnacentral:tRNA from 1 species